rnacentral:lncRNA from 1 species
GAGCAAAGUGUUGGUGCAAGAGGGAGAGCAAAGUGGGAAGGAGGUGCGACACUAGGUUUACACAAACAAAUGUAAGAGUAAAAGUGGAGUAAUAGUAUAGUAAAAGAGGAUGGGUGUGGAUAGGUAGGUGAGAAUAAUUAUAGGAGAAAAAAAAGUUUUUUACUCUUGUCAGAAGACUACUUUUGUUAUUAAUAGAAAAUUUGGAGUUGCAGGAAGAAUAACUCCUUUUAAAUAAGAACCGAAAGUUUGUUUUCAAUACCACUUUCUUUGCAGGUCUAUCUCAAUUUGAUUUUUGGAC